ensembl:misc_RNA 7SK 7SK RNA
GAAUGUGAGGGCGAUCUGGCUGUAACAUCUGUCACCCCACUGAUCGCCAGGGGUAACUGCGCUGAUCCUGUUGGCUAGGUGGGUGUCUACUUCCUCCCUCAUCACUCCAUGCGCAUCCCUUCCAAAGCUGCACGCUGGGUUAAAGAGGAUGACCAUCCCUGAUAGAGGAGGACCGUCUUGGGUCAAGGUCAAGGGUAUAUAAGUAGCUGUGCUCCCCUGCUAGAACCUCCAAACAAGCCCUCAAAAGAAAAUAAACUGUAAACAAAUAUUGAACUCUAGUUAAUAAUAUGCCCACUCAAGUGUUUAGAAGUAUACCAGGCGUCUGCAAUUGACUU